rnacentral:rRNA from 1 species
UACAGAGGGGGCAAGCGUUGUUCGGAAUUACUGGGCGUAAAGCGCGCGUAGGCGGCCUUCUAAGUCGAACGUGAAAUCCCUGGGCUCAACCCAGGAACUGCGUCCGAUACUGGAAGGCUUGAAUCCGGGAGAGGGAUGCGGAAUUCCAGGUGUAGCGGUGAAAUGCGUAGAUAUCUGGAGGAACACCGGUGGCGAAGGCGGCAUCCUGGACCGGCAUUGACGCUGAGGCACGAAAGCUAGGGGAGCAAACAGG